UCGUGGUCGAGAUGGACUCAGCCUGAGGACCUCCAGCAGUUCUGGAAGCCGCUAAAGGAUGUUACUUCUGUUUUCAAUACAGACAACAACUUCCGAUAAGUUUGGACACAUAGGAAGAGCCUGAACGGUUCACGGUAAUGGCGUACAUAAAGGGUAAAGAACAGAAGAUGUCACCAGUGAUGAUGAGCAUUGCCCAACACAUCUAAGAGAUUAGCAGCUUACACUUUGCUACACAAGCAUGAACCUUCAAUGAGUCGAAAAGCUGCCAAGAGAACUGAACAUAAAGCGGUUGCCCGGGAUUAGAAGGACAUGUCUACUUUAUUCCAAGAACAACACCACACUAGAGAUGAGCAAAUCGGUUUGUGCCAAUAAACUCUCCACCAAUGGUGGAUUUUAA